AUUGAACGCUGGCGGCAGGCCUAACACAUGCAAGUCGAACGAGUGGCGGACGGGUGAGUAAUGUCUGGGAAACUGCCCGCUGGAGGGGGAUAACUACUGGAAACGGUAGCUAAUACCGCAUACCAUCGGAUGUGCCCCGAUGGGAUUAGCUAGUAGGUGGGGUAACGGCUCACCUAGGCGACGAUCCCUAGCUGGGCUGAGAGGAUGACCAGGCAAAGUGGAACUGAGACACGGUCCAGACUACAACGGGAGGCAGCGGUGGGGAAUAUUGGACAAUGGGCGCAAGCCGGAUGCAGCCAUGGCGCGUGUAUGAAGAAGGCCUUCGGGUUGUAAAGUACUAACAGCGAGGAGGCGUUACGCGCAGAAGAAGCACCGGCUAACUCCGUGCCAGCAGCCGCGGUAAUAC
rnacentral:rRNA from 1 species